rnacentral:ncRNA from 1 species
AGAGGUGUGUGGGCGUCCGAGAGUGCCCAGGUUCUAGCGGACCUGGGUCUCGGACGCGAAGAUUUUAAAGUCCUAACAGUGAAGUGUCUCCAGGGGGGCCUGGUGUGUUUUCGUGUUCAUCAGCAGAUGACGACUGUGGUGUACCGACGGGUGAUGGCGCGUUUGGCGCCCUAAUAGUGCCUCCGCAACUAACCCCCCCACUUUCUAACUCAGUGGGGGUUUUGAAGGUCGCUCUCCCUUGAAUGAGAGUUAUAAUACGUUUUUCUUCCUUUUGUCGGGUGUGGGGGUGCUCACGCUUACCUGGAGAGGGCGUAACUCGGUCCCCCUAACCCCCUUUUCCUUUUCAUCUGGGGUCGGGUUGGGUUCCGUUUGGGUCCCUAGUCGGGGGGUUAACUCUCCCGAAAUGGGGGCUGGACGGCCGGUUCGUUCCCCAAUGGGUUCAAGCCACAGUGCCCUUCAGUCUGCCCGACGAUGAGGGAGUAAAAGAUAAAAAAAAAAUAGCCAAAUGCCUCGUCAUCUAAUUAGUGACGCGCAUGAAUGGAUUAACGAGAUUCCCACUGUCCCUAUGCAAUGCCCGCUGACUAUUUGUUUGCCCGUUCCCUAUCGAUGGUUUCGCUGUCUCCCCUGUUAUUCUUUUUGAUUGGCUUUUUCACCAAAAAUAUCUUUGACCGCUUUAUGGUCCUAUUCAUUUAUUUUUAUUGGAUUAAACCUGUUAUACCGAUUGGUGGUGCAGGUAGAGAGAACAAUUGUUUUUAUUUCUUUUCACUCUCACUUACAAAAUGUCCCUAUCUACUAUCUAGCGAAACCACAGCCAAGGGAACGGGCUUGGAAAAAUCAGCGGGGAAAGAAGACCCUGUUGAGCUUGACUCUAGUCUGACUCUGUGAAGAGACAUGAGAGGUGUAGCAUAAGUGGGAGGCCGUGAACCCUCGCGGUUGUGUCGUGCCGUCAGUGAAAUACCACUACUUUCAUCGUUUCUUUACUUACUCGGUGAAGCGGAAAGCGGACCAUGAGUGUCCACGCUUCUAGCACUAAGUGCAAGGCCCUUCGUUGGCCCGCACGAUCUGUUCCGAGGACAGUGUCAGGCGGGGAGUUUGACUGGGGCGGUACAUCUGUCAAAUGGUAACGCAGGUGUCCUAAGGCGAGCUCAGCGAGGACAGAAACCUCGCGUAGAGCAAAAGGGCAAAUGCUUGCUUGAUCUGGAUUUCAGUACGAUUACAGACGCGAAGCGGGGCCCUCGAUCCUUUGACUUUA